UGGGGAAUCUUGCGCAAUGGGCGAAAGCCUGACGCAGCGACGCCGCGUGGGGGAUGAAGCUUUUCGGAGUGUAAACCCCUUUCGACCCGGAAGAAAGCCCGCAAGGGUCUGACGGUACGGGUAUAAGAAGCCCCGGCUAACUACGUGCCAGCAGCCGCGGUAAAACGUAGGGGGCCAGCGUUGCUCGGAAUUACUGGGCGUAAAGGGUCUGUAGGCGGUGCGGCAAGUCGGAAGUGAAAUCCCAGGGCUUAACUCUGGGGCUGCUCCCGAAACUGCUGUGCUAGAGUGUGAGAUAGGCGAGUGGAAUUGCAGGUGUAGCGGUGAAAUGCGUAGAUAUCUGCAGGAACAUCCGAGGCGAAAGCGGCUCGCUGGAUCACAACUGACGCUGAGAGACGAAAGCUAGGGGAGCAAACAGGAUUAGAUACCCUGGUAGUCCUAGCCCUAAACGAUCAGGACUUGGCGUGAGCCCUGUACGGGGCUCGUGCCGAAGCUAACGCGAUAAGUCCUGCGCCUGGGGAGUACGGUCGCAAGGCUG
rnacentral:rRNA from 1 species